GCGCUCAUAGCUCAGCUGGAUAGAGCAACGCCCUUCUAAGGCGUAGGCCAGAGGUUCGAAUCCUCUUGGGCGUA
rnacentral:tRNA from 1 species